GCUGUUAUUAAGAGAGCAGUGAAAAUUGGAACAAUACAGAAAAGAUUAGCAUGGCCCCUGUACAAGGAGGACAUGCAAAUUUGUGAAGUGCUCCAUAUUUUU
ensembl:snRNA U6 U6 spliceosomal RNA